UGAGAGUCCGUUUCCUCUCGUGGUGGGGUGGGUAGCCCCGUCAGGCGGCGCCGACGCUAUUUCCUCAGCCGCGGCUUGUUGGCUUCGCCUCGAAUUCGAAUUCGAGAUAGAAGCGCGGGAUCCCCUCCCCGCACGGCGCGCGCCCAAUUCUGUGUCGACAGACCCAUUGACAUAUACGGAGUAGAAGAGGAACAGAGGUUGAGCCCUUCUUGGCGCGCUCGAUUUCUCGCUGUCGUAUCGUAUCAUGGGGUUGCUAGCUCUGAAGCUGCUCAUGUCCAGGCAGCGGGAUAGCAAGCAUCUCGGCGGCCAGAUUCAAGCCCGCAUCACUCAGGGACUCUCCAACCGACCUCCCGUUGGUUCAGAAUGAAUUAAUAAUUGAAGAAUUGGAGAGGCAAAAGAUUCAAUGAUACUCCCUCCGUCCCAAAAUAAGUGACUCCAUAGUUCCUGAGGAGCCAGCAGUAUCCAUUCAAACCAGACUUGUCCCUAGGCUUCAUGUGGUAGCAUUCAAAUGUAAACUGAGCGAUGGGGGCCAGGAAAGGGUAGGGAUAUCACUGUCUGAUGGGUUCUAUGUUCCGUUGAAUUGAACAGAAUUGAUGGGAUUUCUGAAUAUUGCUAGUGUCCUUCCGCAAAACUCAGAUAAGGGAAGCAAACUAGAUCUCUGAGUGUGCUUGAGUUUGGUGUUUUCGAAGCUGCUAGUGUUCUUGUGCAAAACUUAAAUAAGGGAAGCAAACUAGAUUUCUGUGUGCUUGAGUUUGUUCUUUUCGAUGGUAAUGUCUAUAUUAUUAAUACCAAUGCAUGAUGUGUUGCAGAUAGAUCGGUACCUUUAGCGGCUAAAAGAAAGAUCUCUUCAUGCCAACACAGUAACCUUCAAGGUUGCAAGAGAAUGGCAUUUUCAGGGCCAGACCUUCCAGAGGACAUCUGGCGCCAUAUACAUUCCCUACUGCCGUUGCGAGAUGCUGCCCGUGUUGCCUGCGUAUCUCAUGCAUUUUUACGUUCUUGGAAGUGCCAUCCUAACCUCACCUUCAGUAGGAAAGCGCUGGGCCUGAAUGGAAUUCCACAUCAAAACGUUGUAAUUGCAAGGGAUCUCACUAUGGAAGUUGAUCACAUUCUGAAAAAACACUCAGGCAAAGGAGUUAAGAAAUUCAGGAUCGAAUUAUACAUUACAGUUGAUCCCUGUUAUCUUAAUAGCAGGCUUCAGAUUGCCGCUAAACUACGGAUUGAAGAACUCGCCGUUGUUCUACCUUCAACCUGCAAUGCAAACUACUACGAUUUCCCGUGUGCACUUUUUGUUGAUGAUGGGUGUAGAAACACGAUAGAGCAUCUCUGCCUUGGUGGUUGUGCCUUCCAUCCGACGGCUGGAUUUGGUAACUUGAGAAGGCUGCAGCCCGUUUUGGGUUCGUAAUACGGUGGAUGAAUUAGGAUGCCUAAUUUUUAAUUCUUCUGCUUUGGAGCACUUGACACUAAAGUAUUGCGAUACGAUCACUUGCCUGAAGAUACCUAGCCUGCUACAGCAUCUCACCUACCUGAUGGUGUCUGAAUGCACUAAACUGCAGUUGAUAGAGUGCAAAGCUCCGAAUCUCUCAACUUUUUUACUUCAAUGGUGGACAAGUUAAACUUCUGUUUGGAGAUUCAGUUCAAGUGAAGACCAUGGGAAUGUGUUGUUUUGCUCGGUGUAACACCAUCUACAAUGCUCGUGCCAACCUGCCAUCCAUUGUGCCCAAUAUUGAAACUCUUAGCAUAUCUUCUGUUAGUGAAGUAUACUACAAAACUUUUGAUUAUCAGAUAUAACUUGGAAUGUUACUAAUGUGAGUCGUAUUCUUGAAGGUCGUCAAUACACCAAUUGUGCCUGUCAAAUUCCUCCACCUCAAGUAUUUGUCUAUUUCUCUUGAAGCCGAACAUGGGGCUUUCCCCCCAGUCUACGAUUACUUUUCUCUGGUUUCUUUCCUGGAUGCUUGUCCUGUCUUGGAAACUUUCCACUUGGCCGUGUCGCAGACUCGCAUGAAACAUGAUUCGGUUUUUGGAGACCCGUCACAUCUUAGGCAGAGGCGGGAAUACCGCCAUGAGAACAUCAAGACUGUCAAGAUCUCUGGGUUUUGCUCUGCAAAGAGCAUGGUUGAGUUGACAUGUCAUAUUCUUGAGAAUGCAGCAUCACUAGAGUGCCUUACAUUGGACACGAUAGAUGAUGUUGACGAUAUUGGUAGGCACAUUCAUGAAACCGGUGAGUGUAACCCCAUAGGUAGGCAUAUGAUCAAAAAAGCCCGUGAAGCCUCUUGGCAAUUGAAAGGUAUAUUAUGGGAAAAGUUCCCUCCACAGUAAAGUUAAAUGUUCUAGAGCCUUGCAGGCGAUGCCAUGCUUUUGCUGCUUAGAUGUGGCAAUAUCAUAAUUUAGUAGAU